AACAGGAUUAGAUACCCUGGUAGUCCACGCCCUAAACGAUGUCUACUAGUUGUCGGGUUUUAAUUAACUUGGUAACGCAGCUAACGCGUGAAGUAGACCGUCUGGGGAGUACGGUCGCAAGAUUAAAACUCAAAGGAAUUGACGGGGACCCGCACAAGCGGUGGAUGAUGUGGAUUAAUUCGAUGCAACGCGAAAAACCUUACCUACCCUUGACAUGUCAGGAAGGCCGGAGAGAUUUGGCUGUGCCCGAAAGGGAACCUGAACACAGGUGCUGCAUGGCUGUCGUCAGCUCGUGUCGUGAGAUGUUGGGUUAAGUCCCGCAACGAGCGCAUCCCUUGUCAUUAGUUGCUACAUUCAGUUGGGCACUCUAAUGAGACUGCCGGCGACAAACCGGAGGAAGGUGGGGAUGACGUCAAGUCCUCAUGGCCCUUAUGGGUAGGGCUUCACACGUCAUACAAUGGUACAUACAGAGGGCCGCCAACCCGCGAGGGGGAGCUAAUCCCAGAAAGUGUAUCGUAGUCCGGAUCGCAGUCUGCAACUCGACUGCGUGAAGUUGGAAUCGCUAGUAAUCGCGGAUCAGCAUGUCGCGGUGAAUACGUUCCCGGGUCUUGUACACACCGCCCGUCACACCAUGGGAGCGGGUUUUACCAGAAGUAGGUAGCCUAACCGCAAGGGGGGCGCUUACCACGGUAGGAUUCGUGACUGGGGUGAAGUCGUAACAAGGUAACC
rnacentral:rRNA from 1 species